rnacentral:rRNA from 1 species
CCUACGGGAGGCAGCAGUGGGGAAUAUUGCACAAUGGGGGAAACCCUGAUGCAGCGACGCCGCGUGAGUGAAGAAGUAUUUCGGUAUGUAAAGCUCUAUCAGCAGGGAAGAAAAUGACGGUACCUGAUUAAGAAGCCCCGGCUAACUACGUGCCAGCAGCCGCGGUAAUACGUAGGGGGCAAGCGUUAUCCGGAUUUACUGGGUGUAAGGGGAGCGUAGACGGCAGCACAAGUCUGGGGGGAAAUGCCGGGGCUUAACCCCGGAACUGCUUUGGAAACUGUGCAGCUAGAGUGCAGGAGAGGUAAGUGGAAUUCCAAGUGAAGCGGUGAAAUGCGUAGAUAUUAGGAGGAACACCAGUGGCGAAGGCGGCUUACUGGACUGUAACUGACGUUGAGGCUCGAAAGCGUGGGGAGCAAACAGGAUUAGAUACCCGGGUAGUC